CCUACGGGAGGCAGCAGUGGGGAAUAUUGCACAAUGGGCGCAAGCCUGAUGCAGCGACGCCGCGUGAGGGAUGACGGCCUUCGGGUUGUAAACCUCUUUCAGUAGGGAAGAAGCGAAAGUGACGGUACCUGCAGAAGAAGCGCCGGCUAACUACGUGCCAGCAGCCGCGGUAAUACGUAGGGCGCAAGCGUUAUCCGGAAUUAUUGGGCGUAAAGAGCUCGUAGGCGGUUUGUCGCGUCUGCCGUGAAAGUCCGGGGCUCAACUCCGGAUCUGCGGUGGGUACGGGCAGACUAGAGUGAUGUAGGGGAGACUGGAAUUCCUGGUGUAGCGGUGAAAUGCGCAGAUAUCAGGAGGAACACCGAUGGCGAAGGCAGGUCUCUGGGCAUUAACUGACGCUGAGGAGCGAAAGCAUGGGGAGCGAACAGGAUUAGAUACCCUGGUAGUCCAUGCCGUAAACGUUGGGCACUAGGUGUGGGGGACAUUCCACGUUUUCCGCGCCGUAGCUAACGCAUUAAGUGCCCCGCCUGGGGAGGUACGGCCGCGACGACGAACUACAAGAAGUAGACGCGNGAGACGUGCCGACGGACGACGACGAGGGAGGAGG
rnacentral:rRNA from 1 species